UAUUCAUGACAACUCAAACUCCUCUCAAAUGCAAUCUAAUCAAUCCGAAUUACUUCAGCAGCCUGCAAAAUUAGCUGGUGCUGGCGCUAUAACAGCAGCUGCCGCACAAAUUUCGACAUCAUCAACAGCAUUAUCGACAGGAAUGAGUGUAGGUGCUACAGGAGCAACCUCAGGUCAAUGAUGAAGAAAUGGGUAUGGAUGAUUUAGAUCAUAAUGCUGGUACAAGUCAAGGAGGAGAAGGAUCUAGUCAAGGCUACGCACCCUGGCAACAUGAUAGAUCUCAGGAUGAAUUGUUACUGACAACACAAGAUGCACAGCAACGGGACCCACAAGGUAAGU